UGAGGGAUGACGGCUUUCGGGGUUGUAAACCUCUUUCAGCAGGGAAGAAGCGAAAUGUGACGGUACCUGCAGAAGAAGCGCCGGGCUAACUACGUGCCAGCAGCCGCGGUAAUACGUAGGGCGCAAGCGUUGUUCCGGAAUUAUUGGGCGUAAAGAGCUCGUAGGCGGCUUGUCACGUCGAUUGUGAAAGCUCGGGGCUUAACCCCGAGUCUGCAGUCGAUACGGGCUAGCUAGAGUGUGGUAGGGGAGAUCGGAAUUCCUGGUGUAGCGGUGAAAUGCGCAGAUAUCAGGAGGAACACCGGUGGCGAAGGCGGAUCUCUGGGCCAUUACUGACGCUGAGGAGCGAAAGCGUGGGGAGCGAACAGGAUUAGAUACCCUGGUAGUCCACGCCGUAAACGGUGGGAACUAGGUGUUGGCGACAUUCCACGUCGUCGGUGCCGCAGCUAACGCAUUAAGUUCCCCGCCUGGGGAGUACGGCCGCAAGGCUAAAACUCAAAGGAAUUGACGGGGGCCCGCACAAGCGGCGGAGCAUGUGGCUUAAUUCGACGCAACGCGAAGAACCUUACCAAGGCUUGACAUACACCGGA
rnacentral:rRNA from 1 species